rnacentral:rRNA from 1 species
AUGAUCGUUUCCUCAACAAAAUUUGAACUGAUCUUUUCCUUUUUGAGAAUUUUUAUUCUUGCUCACUGGCAUCCAUGUAUAGAUAAAAUAUAUGUUGAUAGUUCGGUUAUGAUAUUAGUUCUUUCGGUAAAAUCAUGUUCUGGUGGAUACAAAGGACUGUUUUGCAAGUUUAUAUUUUACCUAUUUCUUAACAUUUUGUUGGUUUUGCAGUAUGUCAACCAGUUCUGUUGUUUGAGAAAUAGUACUGCAGCUGCACUUAUUCUUGUCUUCUGUUCUUCCUUUUUCUUGAAUUGCUAUGCUGAUUCUGCUGUUCCUAAGUCCCUUGGAUAG